GAUGAGGUGGCCGAGUGGUUAAGGUGGUGGACUCCUAAUCCAUUAUGCUCUGCAUAUGUGGGUUCAAAUCCCAUCCUCAUUA